rnacentral:tRNA from 1 species
AGUAAAAUGGCUGAAUAAGGUGAUAAAUUGUAAAUUUAUUUAUGGAUAAAUAU